rnacentral:rRNA from 1 species
UACGUAGGGUGCGAGCGUUAAUCGGAAUUACUGGGCGUAAAGCGUGCGCAGGCGGUUCGUUGUGUCGGUGGUGAAAUCCCCGGGCUUAACCUGGGAAUGGCCAUGGAAACUGGCGAACUGGAGUGCGGCAGAGGGGGGUGGAAUUCCGCGUGUAGCAGUGAAAUGCGUAGAGAUGCGGAGGAACACCGAUGGCGAAGGCAGCCCCCUGGGCUAGCACUGACGCUCAGGCACGAGAGCGUGGGGAGCAAACAGG